rnacentral:rRNA from 1 species
GGUGGAGCAUGUGGUUUAAUUCGAAGAUACACGAAGAACCUUACCUGGCCUUGACAUGGUAGGAACCCUUAAGAGAUUAGGGGGUGCUAGCUUGCUAGAACCUACACACAGGUGCUGCACGGCUGUCGUCAGCUCGUGUCGUGAGAUGUUGGGUUAAGUCCCGCAACGAGCGCAACCCUCGUCCUUAGUUGCUAACAGUUCGGCUGAGCACUCUAGGGAGACUGCCUUCGCAAGGAGGAGGAAGGUGAGGACGACGUCAAGUCAUCAUGGCCCUUACGGCCAGGGCUACACACGUGCUACAAUGGGGCGUACAGAGAGCUGCGAUACCGCGAGGUGGAACCAAUCUCUUAAAGCGUCUCUCAGUUCGGAUUGUUCUCUGCAACUCGAGAACAUGAAGCUGGAAUCACUAGUAAUCGCAGAUCAGCUAUGCUGCGGUGAAUACGUUCCCGGGUCUU